CCUUGCAGCCAUACCACCCUGAAUACGCCCAAUCUCUUAAAAUCUCGGAAACUAAGCAAGGUCGGGCCUGCUUAGUACUUGGAUGGGAGACUGCCCGGGAAUACCGGGUGCUGUAAGCG
ensembl:rRNA 5S_rRNA 5S ribosomal RNA